rnacentral:misc_RNA from 1 species
AACGCGAAAAUACAUAAAGGCUUCGGCUAGAGUGUGUUUUGGCAUUGCUUGGACGGGGUUCGCUCUGUCCAACUUCAAAACUUAUAUCAAUUUAUCUGAAAACUGAAAAUUUAAAACUUUCAACAACGGAUCUCUUGGUUCUCACAUCGAUGAAGAACGCAGCAAAGCGCGAUAGGUAAUGCGAAUUGCAGACGUGAGUCAUUGAAUCUUUGAACGCACAUUGCGCUACUAGGUUCUCCUAGUAGCAUGCUUGUUGGAGCGCCGAACUUUCUCUCUAACUCUUCUUCUGAAGAGUCGUGAGGUAUUGCUUCUGCUAGAAGUCAAAGAAAUGGAACAGCACACGUUAAUAACUCUGUGCAGUAAUAUUUUUAUGGCCCCCAAUCAAGCAA